CAAGGAGCACCUCAACAAUAGCGCUCCUAUUUUAUUGCGUAAAUUGUAUAACCUUGGUUCAAAACCAUCAAUCAGUCGCAAUAAUGAUUACAUGCAAUACUUUGUCACCGUUCAUUUUUAUAGAAUAUUUUCAAAACGCCCACUUAUCUACCUAAUAGCGUGCUCUUUGAUCUUUGAAAACUCAAAACAUCGAAAAAAAUGACAAUAAACGGUGAAACGAUUUGUAGCCGUUCUGCAUUGCGAAACUAUUGGCACAAUAAGAAUUUGGUGUAAGCUGGUAUGUGCUGCAGACGUGCUUAGAAGCUUUUGGAUUAGUUCGUGUUUAAUAUACAUUUAAGACAAUCUGAAAUAAAUAUUUACAUACACCAGAAUUCACUUUAUUCGUCCUUCAAAGACAUGUAUAUACAUAAUGUUACAUUGUAAAUGUAAAUUUGAUCCAUAAUUUGUUUCUAUUUUGUAUCAAAUUGUUAGCAUUAAACCCUGACCUAAUAAUAUGAAAUAUCAACGAAUAUUUUUUUACAACUGUCGCACCUCAAUACAAUAAUGACUUGGAAUUUAAUGAAGACUGCAACAUGUUUCUUUAUUGCUCUGGUUUGGUCGUUCAAAUUACAUACCUGCAUAUGAUUUUCCUAAUAAUGUUUUUGUGUACUCAAGUAACUCUGAGCUAAUUUGUUUUUUUUUCUUGCUUAUGCAUAGAUUUAAAAAAAAUUGAUUGGUAUUAUAUUAAUAAUAAUAAUAAUAAUAAUAAUAACAAUAAUAUUUAUAAUUUAAAAAAAAAAGAUGGAAGUGGUUUUCAUACUUUUACUGGCGACCAUGCUGGUUUCAAAGAUCGACGACAAUGCAAGAUAAUUUACAAUUUUAAGUGUGUUUUUUGUUCAAUUUAAGAAAAUUGAUUGAUUGAUUGCUGAUUGAUUAAAGUGCAGUGGCAAUUGUUUGAAUUAGGUUGAUUCGAAGGAAAGAAAUGUACAAUGACAAAAAUUGAAACAAUAGCCUUUUGCUGAACCUCCUUUUUGUGUAACGUCUUUAUACAAAGGGAAAAUGAUCGAAACAAAAUUGAAUUAAAAUAGAAACUAAUAAAUAAAGCUGUUUCUUCUUCAGAGCGAACCUGACGAAAUAUCACAUAUCAAAAAAACCAAAACCAAACAAUAUCACCAGAAAUCAAUCGACCAUUAUGCAGGUGUCAUGAUUUUGGUAGUAUCUUUUUAUAAUGAAUUAAAACAAAGUUAUAGUAUACAAAGUUUAAACAGAAACAUGCUUAUAUUUAACAUGGAAAAACAGUCUCUUAAUACUUUUAAUAGCUUUUAUCACGAAAUUGGUCUUUCUAAAAUUUUGACGGCCAUACUAUAGAACUUGACUUUGAACUUGAAUCUGUCAUCUUUAUGAAAGUAAAAUGAAACCUUGAACUUAUAUAUUAAACCUUCAAAUCGUAUAUGUGUAUUCACUUUCUCGUCCUUUUGGUUACUGGUUAUGUAAUUUUGAUCUUACUUUUAUUUACCAGAAAAAUCAAUUGCGUAAGACUGAGAAAAAAAAACCAUUUGAUAUUCAUAUUGUAUAAAAUAUACAAGGUACACACGGACUUAAAACUGUUUGUCGUCUACUAAAUAAGGCCAGCAAUUACUUCAAAUACGGUCACAAUACCAUAUUAGAUAUUCUUAUAAAUCACAUCAACAGCUUUCCUUCUAUUAUAUAAUUUUUUGAAUUAAUGUUAUAUGAAUUAUUUUGAAUUUCAAAAAAGAAUUAACAUAAGAAUAAACAUCGCCAAGCCACAAUUUUAUAAAUCCAUAAUCACAGUAAAACACUGAAAGUAUAGAUAUGAAAAUUCAUUGAACAUGAAACUAUCUAUGAUUACCCUUUCGUGUUUACAUGUUUUAUAAGGAAAAGUGCGACUAUCACACAUUUUAUCAUUUGAAGCUGAUUUGUCUAAAUUCAUGCGACGAACAAAACAUUGGAUGAUUCAAGGUUCAAUGAAAUGUUGACCUCAAUAAGUUCUGCUGCCCCCAUGUUUGUUGUGAACAAAAGUUGAUAGUCCUUCCGCUUAAGUAAACACUAAACAUGUGCAGACUGUUAUUGCAGAGAGAAUAUUUAUACAAACCUUUUUAAAAAUGCAGCAUUAUAUAAAGUUUCUAAUAUAUUUUUUUUCUGUACUUUUGAACGUUUCAAAGAUUUUUGUCUCUCUUUUCUAAUCCUAUUUCAAACAAUUGCUUUAUACAACUCGGAAUUCAAAUAGUUGUCGAGAAAUCUAGAUCACAGGCAGUUGUUUUGUUGUGAAGUGUGAAGUGAAAAAUAAAACUUUAGUUCAUUAUGGAAUAAAAUUAUGCACAAAAUAGAAGAAAUUUUACUUUGGAUCGGUUGUUUAUAUAUGGGGAACAUUACCUAGUAUUAUUUGUAUGUCAGGAAUAUGACAGUUGUUCUGUCUUU